rnacentral:rRNA from 1 species
AGUGAACGCUGGCGGUAGGCCUAACACAUGCAAGUCGAACGGAAGCACAGUAAGAGCUUGCUCUUACGGGUGGCGAGUGGCGGACGGGUGAGGAAUACAUCGGAAUCUACUUUUUCGUGGGGGAUAACGUAGGGGAACUUACGCUAAUACCGCAUACGACCUACGGGUGAAAGCAGGGAAUCUUCGGACCUUGCGCGAUUGUAUGAGCCGAUGUCGGAUUAGCUAGUUGGCGGGGUAAAGGCCCACCAAGGCGACGAUCCGUAGCUGGUCUGAGAGGAUGAUCAGCCACACUGGAACGGAGACACGGUCCAUACUCCUACGGGAGGCAGCAGUGGGGAAUAUGGGACAAUGGGCGCAAGCCUGAUCCAGCCAUACCGCGUGUGUGAAGAAGGCCUUCGGUUUGGAAAGCCCUUUUGUUGGGAAAGAAAAGCAGUAGGUUAAUACCCCGCUGUUCUGACGGUACCCAAAGAAUAAGCACCGGCUAACUUCGUG